rnacentral:rRNA from 1 species
GAUAAACGCUGGCGGCGUGCUUAACACAUGCAAGUCGAACGAAGUUUUUCCUUCGGGAGACACUUAGUGGCGGACGGGUGAGUAACGCGUGGGUAACCUGCCCUGUACAGGGGGACAACAGCUGGAAACGGCUGCUAAUACCGCAUAAGCACUUAGCACUGCAUGGUGCAUAGGGAAAAGGAGCAAUCCGGUACAGGAUGGACCCGCGUCUGAUUAGCCAGUUGGCAGGGUAACGGCCUACCAAAGCGACGAUCAGUAGCCGAUCUGAGAGGAUGUACGGCCACAUUGGGACUGAGACACGGCCCAGACUCCUACGGGAGGCAGCAGUGGGGAAUAUUGCACAAUGGAGGAAACUCUGAUGCAGCGACGCCGCGUGAGUGAAGAAGUAUUUCGGUAUGUAAAGCUCUAUCAGCAGGGAAGAAAAUGACGGUACCUGACGAAGAAGCACCGGCUAAAUACGUG